rnacentral:tRNA from 1 species
GGGACCGUAGCUCAGACUGGGAGAGCACUACGCUGAAGACGUAGGUGUCCUGGGUUCAAACACGGUCACUGGCGUUCGGCGCUUCCAAACGCCGCCGUUUGAAAGUCCCAGCGGUCCCA